rnacentral:rRNA from 1 species
UACGGGGGAUGCGAGCGUUAUCCGGCUUUAUUGGGUUUAAAGGGUGCGCAGGCGGUCUGUUAAGUCAGCGGUCAAAGCCCGGGGCUCAACCCCGGCCCGCCGUUGAAACUGGCAGUCUCGAGUUGGAGAGAAGUAUGCGGAAUGCGCGGUGUAGCGGUGAAAUGCAUAGAUAUUAGGAAGAACACCAGUGGCGAAGGCGGGUUACUGGACGACAACUGACGGUGAGGCGCGAAAGCGUGGGGAGCAAACAGG